AACGUAGGUCCCGAGCGUUAUCCGGAUUUACUGGGCGUAAAGCGCGUUCAGGCGGCCGCGCAAGUCGGGCAUGAAAUCUCUCGGCUCAACCGGGAGGGGUUGUCCGAUACUGUGCGGCUGGAGGGCAGUAGAGGGUGGUGGAAUUCCGGGUGUAGUGGUGAAAUGCGUAGAGAUCCGGAGGAACACCAGUGGCGAAAGCGGCCACCUGGACUGUACCUGACGCUGCAACGCGAAAGCUAGGGGAGCGAACGGG
rnacentral:rRNA from 1 species